rnacentral:rRNA from 1 species
UAGGGAAUCUUCCGCAAUGGACGCAAGUCUGACGGAGCAACGCCGCGUGAGUGAAGAAGGAUUUCGGUUCGUAAAACUCUGUUGUUAGAGAAGAACAGCGCAUAGAGUAACUGUUAUGCGUGUGACGGUAUCUAACCAGAAAGCCACGGCUAACUACGUGCCAGCAGCCGCGGUAAUACGUAGGUGGCAAGCGUUGUCCGGAUUUAUUGGGCGUAAAGCGAGCGCAGGCGGUCAAUUAAGUCUGAUGUGAAAGCCCCCGGCUCAACCGGGGAGGGUCAUUGGAAACUGGUUGACUUGAGUGCAGAAGAGGAGAGUGGAAUUCCAUGUGUAGCGGUGAAAUGCGUAGAUAUAUGGAGGAACACGAGUGGCGAAGGCGACUCGCUGGUCUGUAACUGACGCAGAGGCUCGAAAGCGUGGGUAGCAAACAGG